UAUACUUUAUUUUGACCAUAUGAUCAACACUUGUACAUAGUGCCAUUUACUUUGUGUUCUUCACUCUCGCGUUGUGUUUUGAUCGUUCGAAACUCAUUGCCAGAACGAAUGCAAAUUUCAUUUGGGAAGGAUCGGUGCCGGAAAAUGCAGUGAAAAUUAUAAAAUGUUUAUAGAAAAGUGGUUAAGUAAAUCGUGAAAGAUGUCAACGCAGGUGUAAAUGCAGUUUGUUUUGUUACUUGAUCUACGGGUAAGUCAAUUUCAUUACCAAAGCACCUGAUAACCGAUCAAAGAAAAUGAAUCGGGCUUACAGAGUCGCCGUUUAACUUCAAAUAUCUUCGUGAUCGGCAAACGCAUCAAACAGCAAGUGUUUUUCUUCCAACAGCACGCGCCAUCGGUGGAGCAAGCAGCCAACGUUUCGUUCGUCUAGCACGCACCAUCAAGAAUUGAAAUAUUCCCGAAUAGCUCUGUGAAUAAAAAACUGCACACUUACUGUCCGAAU